UACGUAGGGUGCAAGCGUUAAUCGGAAUUACUGGGCGUAAAGCGUGCGCAGGCGGUUCUAUAAGACAGAUGUGAAAUCCCCGGGCUCAACCUGGGAACUGCAUUUGUGACUGUAGAGCUGGAGUACGGCAGAGGGGGAUGGAAUUCCGCGUGUAGCAGUGAAAUGCGUAGAUAUGCGGAGGAACACCGAUGGCGAAGGCAAUCCCCUGGACCUGUACUGACGCUCAGGCACGAAAGCGUGGGGAGCAAAAGGG
rnacentral:rRNA from 1 species